GACGAACGCUGGCGGCGUGCUUAACACAUGCAAGUCGAGCGAUGACGACCGAGCUUGCUCGGUCUGAUUAGUGGCGAACGGGUGAGUAACACGUGAGCAACCUGCCCUUCACUCUGGGAUAACCCCGGGAAACCGGGGCUAAUACCGGAUAUGAGCUCCUGUCGCAUGGCGGGUGUUGGAAAGUUUUUCGGUGCAGGAUGGGCUCGCGGCCUAUCAGUUUGUUGGUGAGGUAGUGGCUCACCAAGGCGAUGACGGGUAGCCGGCCUGAGAGGGCGACCGGCCACACUGGGACUGAGACAGGGCCCAGAAUCCUACGGGAGGCAGCGGUGGGGAGUAUUGCGCAAUGGGCGGAAGCCUGAUGCAGCGACGCCGCGUGGGGGAUGACGGCCUUCGGGGUGUAAACCUCUUUGAGCAGGGAAGAAGCGAAAGUGACGGUACCUGCAGAAGAAGCGCCGGCUAACUACGUG
rnacentral:rRNA from 1 species